GCAUAACGCGAAGAACCUUACCAAGGCUUGACAUACACGAGAACGGGCCAGAAAUGGUCAACUCUUUGGACACUCGUGAACAGGUGGUGCAUGGUUGUCGUCAGCUCGUGUCGUGAGAUGUUGGGUUAAGUCCCGCAACGAGCGCAACCCUCGUUCUAUGUUGCCAGCACGUCAUGGUGGGAACUCAUGGGAUACUGCCGGGGUCAACUCGGAGGAAGGUGGGGAUGACGUCAAAUCAUCAUGCCCCUUAUGUCUUGGGCUUCACGCAUGCUACAAUGGCCGGUACAAAGGGCUGCAAUACCGUGAGGUGGAGCGAAUCCCAAAAAGCCGGUCCCAGUUCGGAUUGAGGUCUGCAACUCGACCUCAUGAAGUCGGAGUCGCUAGUAAUCGCAGAUCAGCAACGCUGCGGUGAAUACGUUCCCGGGUCUUGUACACACCG
rnacentral:rRNA from 1 species